CCCUUAGAUGUUCUGGGCCGCACGCGUGCUACACUGAGUGGAUCAGCGGGUCAGGUUGCGCGAAAGCGUUUCCUAAUCUUUAAAUCCGCUCGUGAUGGGGAUUGACGGUUGCAAUUUUCUGUCAUGAACGAGGAAUACCUUGUAAGCGCGGGUCAUCAUCCCGCGCUGAAUACGUCCCUGCCCUUUGUACACACCGCCCGUCGCUCCUACCGAUUGAAUGCUCAGGUGAGCCAUUCGGACUUUCAUCAUGCUGGUUUCCAGUUUUGAUGAAGGAAAGUCUUGCGAACCUUAUCAUUUAGAGGAAGGAGAAGUCGUAACA
rnacentral:rRNA from 1 species